CACAGGUACCGUACACGUGGGGCCACAUCUAACUGCAGAUCCGCGACUGCGAGUAGAGAUAAUUUCUUCUUUCAGCUCCCCGUCGUCCUCCUCGUCCUCCGCCGAACUUCAAAAAUCCCGCUAGAUCUUCUGCAAAAUGGCGAUCCCGACCGUCGAUUCCUCCAACCGCUUCCUCCGACUCGGGUCGAUCCCAUUCGUCGACCUCCGAUUCCUGACUCAGUCCGAACUCAGCUCGCUCUCUCUCUGCUCUGAGGACGCCUUCGAUCUCUGCAGCUGCGACGACACCAUCGUCCCCAAGAUCGACCGCUCCAUCUUCAACGAGAGCGCUGGCAGCCGGAAGCAAACCUACUCGCGGAUCCUACUCGCCCCUCACAGCUCCGACAUGGGCCGCCGCCGCCGGCGCCGGCCCGGCCUCUACCCCGUCUCCCGGCCGCCACCCGACCCGGUUGACGACUCGGAGCAGAGAGAGAACAGGCAGAUCGUCUUCUUCCUCCGCCAGCUCUUCUCCCAGCGGAAGAGCACCAAUGGCAGCGGGCCGUGCGGCGACGACGGCCAACAGGAUACGGGCACGGCUAUCGUGCUUUACAGCAGGGGGAGUGAGGUUGUGAACCGAGAUGGGGUUGUGAUUGAUGUCGCGGCACUGGCUGAUUGCCAGGAUCCAUUCGGGCCGGAAUUGAGGAAGCGGACGGAGGGUUUGGAGACAGAAGCGGAGCUGCUGGGGUUUUUGAAUGGAUUGGAGGGUCGUUGGGGGAGCCGGAGGAGGAAGAGGAAGAUCGUCGAUGCAGCAGAGUUUGGGGAUGAGCUCCCGAUCGGUUGGAAGAUUUUAAUUGGGAUUAAGCGGAAAGAAGGACGUGUUUGGCUGUAUUGCCGUCGAUACAUUAGCCCAAGUGGGCAGCAGUUUGAGACCUGCAAGGAAGUUUCUUCAUAUUUGCACCCUUAUGUUACAUCGCAAGAUCCAAUCCAGCCCGUUUCUGUUGACAUCAACGAGAGCACUCAUGGGACUUGCAAUGUGGCUUCUGGAAGUACUCAAGGUCCUGCCCGGGAAGAUGAAAUUGCAACGGAAGUUCCCAUUUGCUAUUCAGCAGUGCCCAUUUCUUCUAUUUCUCCUGACCAUGAGAAGCAAGUCUUAUUUAGGGUUGAGAAUCCGGCGAAGACCCAACUGAGGGAGAUUCUAGGAUGUAACAAAUGCAAUCUGACUUUUGGCGAUAAGGAUGCAUGUGUGCAGCACUUAUUAUCCUUCCAUAAAAGGAGCGCAAAGAGGUGUAGGCUUGGCAAAUCCAUUGGCGAUGGGGUCAUAAUAAGAGACGGGAAAUAUGAAUGCCAGUUUUGCCACAAGAGUUUUGAUGAACGACGCCGUUACAAUAGUCAUGUUGGGGUUCAUGUGAGGGACUACGAUAAGAGUCUUGCAGCAUUGCCAGAUGAGAUAAUUGUGCAAACGAGCAUUGACUCAUCAUCCUUGGCUGGGAUCCCUUUAGCUGUCUCUGAGAUGGAUAUCUCAGUUGAAAUGGACAACAAUGGGGACUCCCUUCCGACGACUCCAAUGGACAAGUCGGGUGAUGAUGAGCUUAAUGUCAGUCCGCCUCGUAGCAAACAAGAUCCUGAGAAUGCUGAAGCUGCUGAUGGUCCACAACUUAAUGCACUUGAAAUUACUCAGGAACCCUUGCCAAGCAAAUCUGUUGAUGGGCAGGAUGACAUUUAUAUGACGACCGAUGCUAAAGUGGGGAUGAGUGUCGAGCAUAACAACGGCAUGGAUGAUAAACGUAAUGCAUGCUUUGAUGCUACAACUCAAUUGCGUGGUGAGGAGAAAAAUGUUACUAGUGAUGCUUCUAAUGAAAAAGAUAAUUUUCCUAGCACUAUGCCUGAUGAAAUCGAUAGAUCCAACCACGAGCGGGAACAGGGUUAUGAAAGCUGUCCAGUUACUCUACCUGAUAAUGAGCAAACUCAUAGUAUUGGAACUUCAGCAGAUGUUAUCUUGUCCAGUGGUGCAAAUGUACCUAUGCUUGAUGAAAUGGAAAAAUGUGAUGACGAGCUGGAAAGUGAUUUUGGAAGCAGCCCUCCUGAAUGUGAUGAAGACAGUGAUGUGGGGAUUACUGGGGGCGCCAAUGAAGGAAAUGCACUGCAGAGUGUGGCAGCCUACCCACUGUCAUCAGGCUGUUUUACCUCCCUUGAUAUGGUAUCCGAUAAGGGAGAAGAACUUGGUACUGUUAGUCGGAAGCUUGAGAACAUAUCACCUUUCAAAGAGCUAGGGUUGGAUGACAUUGAUGAUCCGAAGAUUGGUUUCACGAUUGGCCAAGAUUCAAGCACCCUGUCAGAGGCACCCAUGGAUUUGGCUUACUGUCCAGAAUUGGAACAAGGGCUUGAUCCAUCUGUUCAGUUUGAGUGGGACCCAGUAUUACCGGAGGUGGCUAGCAGGCAUCAGGUCACAACCAAUUGCGUUUGGUGCAGAAUAGAGUUCAAACUCGAAGGUUUCAACCCCGAAACACAAUCAGAUUCAGUCGGUUUUAUGUGUCCCAGCUGCAAGGCCAAGAUAUCAGGACAGCUCAAAGUAUUGGAUAACGGCUCGCCCAUGAAAUCUGACAAGCUCUGACUGUGGACCUGUGGCUUACUUCUCAUCCAAGCAUAAACAAUUCUUUGGUAAGAGGUGAUCUCGGUUUGCCAAAACUGGAGACAGGCAUGUUGUCCAAUCAAGCCAGUCAGCAGGGUUUGCCACGCACUGCAGCACAAGGAAACGCCAUCAGAAAGACUCAGGACUGUCUCGCGGCUUGUCGUGGAUAUAGGCAUGUGAAUCCUGUGCUGUGCUGGAGCUGGGAAUGCAAUUGGGGAUAGCACUGUGAGUGUGACAAUCCGAAAAAGAAAAAAAAAGAGAAGUUAUCGUCUCUCAUCCUUUCUAAUUAGUUGUCAGUUGCCUUUAGAAAUUCUGUUUCUGGCUACAGUUUUAUUUUAUUCAAGAGGGCAUGUUGCCUCUCCAUUUGCUG